rnacentral:rRNA from 1 species
ACAGUGAUUCUCCACAGGAUGAACGCUGGCGGCGUGCCUAAUACAUGCAAGUCGAACGAGGUGCUUUUGUAGCAAUUAGAGAGUAUCCUAGUGGCGAACGUAGUGAGUAACGCGUUGGUGACCUACCCCAAAGUUAGGGAUAACAGUCCGAAAGGAUUGCUAAUACCGCAUGUGGUUAUUGGAUCUAGAAACUGAUAACUAAAGGAGCAAUUCGCUUUGGGAGGGACCUGCGUCCCAUCAGCUAGUUGGUGACUAAUGCUCACCAAGGCUACGACGGGCCGGGGACCUGAGAGGGUGGCCCCCCACAAUGGAACUGAAACACGGUCCAUACACCUACGGGUUAAGCAGUAGGGAAUAUUGCACAAUGGGCGAAAGCCUGAUGCUCCAAACGCUUGCGUGUGCGAUGAAGGUAUUCGGGUCGUAAAGCACUUUUCUGAGAGAUGAUAUAGACAGUAUCUCAGGACCAUUAAGUCUCGGCUAACUACGUGCCAGCCAGCCGCGGUAACUCGUAGCCAGGUAAAGCGUUAUCCACGUAAUUCACAGGGGCGUAAAGCGCGUGCAGGCCAGGAUGUUUGAAAGUUGAUCGUGAAAGCUCCCGGCUCAACUGGGAGAGGUCGUUCAAUAUAUACCGAACUAGAGAGUCAGAAGAGGAAGAUGGAAUUCCCGGUGUAGUGGGAGAAAUAGUACGUAGAUAUAGGCGGGAGGAACACCAGUGGAUAAGGCGAUCUUCUGGUCUAUUUCUGACCUCAGACGCCAGCAGCUAUAUGUAGUAAACGGGAUUAGAGACCCCGGUAAUCCUAGCCGUAACGAUGUGAACUUGGCGUCGGUGGCUUAAACACCAUCGGUGCCGAAGCAAACGCGAUAAGUUCACCGCCUGGGGACUACGGCCGCAAGGUUAAAACUCAAAGGAAUUGACGGGGGCCCGCACAAGCAGCGGAGCGUGCCUUUAAACCGAUGCAUACACGAAGAACCUUACCCAGGCUUGACAUACAGGUGUAGUUACCGAAUUGGUGACCGACCCGCAAGGGAGCCUGAACAGGUGUUGCAUGCCUGUACACACGUGUCGUUAAGAUGUUCGGUUAGGUCCGCUAACAGCGCAACCCUCGUCGCGUGUUAUACGUGUCACGCGAGACCGCCGGUAUUAAGCCGGAGGAUGGUGGAGACGUCAAGUCAGCAUGGCCUUUAUCCUAUGGGCUACACACACGCUACACGGUUAGUACAAUGGGUUGCCAAGCCCCGAGGUGGAGCCAAUCCCUCAAAGCCGACCUCAGUAAAGAUUGCAGGCUCAGGUACUCGCCUGCACCAGCCGGAGUUGUUAGUAAACGCGCGUCAGCUUAGUGCGUUGCCACGUUCUCGGGCUAUUUGACACACCGUCUCGUUUA